rnacentral:rRNA from 1 species
GGAGCUCGCUCCCGGGGCUACCCUACUCCCGUAGGGUUUAGAGUCGUCGGGCCUCUCGGAGAAGCUCGGUCCUGAACUCCACCCUUGAAUAAACUACCUUUGUUGCUUUGGCGGGCCGCCUCGUGCCAGCGGCUUCGGCUGUUGAGUGCCCGCCAGAGGACCCCAACUCUUGUUUUUAGUGAUGUCUGAGUACUAUAUAAUAGUUAAAACUUUCAACAACGGAUCUCUUGGUUCUGGCAUCGAUGAAGAACGCAGCGAAAUGCGAUAAGUAAUGUGAAUUGCAGAAUUCAGUGAAUCAUCGAAUCUUUGAACGCACAUUGCGCCCUCUGGUAUUCCGGGGGGCAUGCCUGUUCGAGCGUCAUUAUAACCACUCAAGCUCUCGCUUGGUAUUGGGGUUCGCGGUUUCGCGGCCCCUAAAAUCAGUGGCGGUGCCUGUCGGCUCUACGCGUAGUAAUACUCCUCGCGAUUGAGUCCGGUAGGUCUACUUGCCAGCAACCCCUAAUUUUUUUAAGGUUGACCUCGGAUCAGGUAGGGAUACCCGCUGAACUUAAGCAUAUCAA